rnacentral:rRNA from 1 species
AGGGCACCACCAGGAGUGGAGCCUGCGGCUUAAUUUGACUCAACACGGGAAAUCUCACCAGGCCCGGACACCGGAAGGAUUGACAGAUUGAGAGCUCUUUCUUGAUUCGGUGGGUGGUGGUGCAUGGCCGUUCUUAGUUGGUGGAGCGAUUUGUCUGGUUAAUUCCGAUAACGAACGAGACUCUGGCCUACUAACUAGACGUUGGAUCAUUUACGGUCCUUCGCUGCUUCUUAGAGGGACGGGCGGCGUUCAGCCGCACGAGAAUGAGCAAUAACAGGUCUGUGAUGCCCUUAGAUGUUCUGGGCUGCGCGCGCGCUACACUGAAGGAAUCAGCGUGUGUACCCUGUCCGAAAGGACUGGGGAACCCGUUGAACCUCCUUCGUGAUGGGGAUUGGGGAUUGAAAUUAUUCCCCAUGAACGAGGAAUUCCCAGUAGGCGCGAGUCAUAAGCUUGCGUCGAUUACGUCCCUGCCCUUUGUACACACCGCCCGUCGCUACUACCGAUCGAGUGAUUUAGUGA